UGUGACACCCGGCGGAUGUAAACAAAGAAGCAUGAGCAGAGUUUGCUUCACUGCUGUGUGGACUGAGCUAUAAAACGGCUGUAUUAUAGUAUGAAUGAGAAAUAUCAGAGCGAUAAAGUAACAAUGUGUUCAGUUGAGUAUCUGAGAGAGUUGAUCAGCGACAGACUAGCUGCUGCUGCUGGAGAAAUAUUCUCAGAGUUUGAAAAAACCAUCGUCCAGUACCAGGAGGAGAUCGAUCGUCAGCGCAGACUGCUGGAUGUCAUCUGGAAACCACACAUCCCCUUACAACCCAUAGAGCUCCCACAGUCUUAUGUCUGUGAGAAUGAGAAGACUGUUGUUGACCAUCAGCCCCAUGACCAGGAGAGAAACUCCAUGGUGGACCAUGAAGACCCAGAGCCUCCACGGAUUAAAGAUCAGCAGGAGGAACUCUGCACCAGUCAGGACCAAUCAAACCCAGAGAUUUCUCAAAUUAAAAUGGAACAGGAAGAAUUGUGCACCAGUCUGGACCAAUUAGACCCAGGGUUACCACAAAUUAAAGUGGAACAGGAUGAACUCUGCUCCAGUCAGGAGGAAGACUUAAUAGGAUUGAAACAGGAGACUGAUACCUUUGAGGUGACUCCUGCUGAUGAGGAAAGUGACCACAGUGAACCAAACCAAACAGUGAUCAGCUCCUGUUUCACAUCUCUUGUGUAGCUGAGAGCCCAGAUCAGGAAGGAAGCAAGGAUGUAGACUCAGGAUCAACUAGAUGUAUCGAGCAGAAACCAAGACAUCAGAGUAACAACAGUCACAGUAAUGAUGUAGACAAUGCUCCAACAUCAGCGAGACAGUGUGAUAAUGACAAGGCAAGAAAAUGUACAACAUGCGAGGUGUGUGGAAAAGCUUUUAGGCGUAAAUCAAAUUUAAUUAGACAUCACAGAACUCACACAGGUGAGAAGCCGUAUUCUUGUGAAACCUGUGGAAAAAGCUUCAGUCAACGGCACUCUUUGACUGACCACAUGAGAUGUCACACAGGUGAGAAACCAUAUGUUUGUCACAUUUGUGGAAAAAGAUUUUCUGGUUCAUCAGUUCAUUAUAAGCACAUGGCAGUUCACAAAAUGGGAAAGCCAUAUUCUUGUGGAACCUGUGGAAAAAACUUCAGUCAACGGUCCUAUUUGACUGUCCACUUAAGACGUCACACAGGUGAGAAGCCAUAUUCUUGUGGAACCUGUGGAAAAAGCUUCAACUGUCGUUAUCGAUUAAAAGCCCACAUGAGAAUCCACACAGCUGAGAAGUUGUGAUCCUGAAACAUCUGUGAAAAAUAAAAAGAACUAAGCUUGAAACAACAUGGAAGAAUUGGUACAGAUUAAAAGUAGAUGUUUUAGAUUUAAAGCAGCUCGAGUCUGUGCUUCAACAACAGUUGUGAGGAAGUAUGUAAGCCAUCCUUGAUGAUUAGACCAGAUGGAGUCUGGACUGUGGUGGUGGAGCAGCAGGCAGAAGAACCAAACUGAAUGUCUGGAUGGAUAUGGUAUUGGUACAGACUGCUACAUUUCUGCUAUCAUGACAUCCUUCAUCAGCAGAGCACUGAUUGGAGAUAAUGUGAAGCUGUUUGGAACAUUUUCACAUCCUGCUGAGAGAACAUGGCUGUUCAGGUGUGAACAUACUGCUGGAAUCCACUCAGCUUGAGCUCUGCUGUCUUUCUAGUAAAAGGAGGCAACGAGAUACAGAGACAUUGUGACAGUAGGACACAACAGAGUGUGUCACUGCAGCAGAGGAGAUCUGGACGUGAAAUAAAGUUGUAAUAAAACGUCUACAGCUCCAUGACUGCUUCAUGAAAUGUUUUGAAUGUUUUCAAACAGAUGAACAUUUACAAGUUGUUUCAUAAUUAAUGUAACAUUGAAGAGCCCCAGCAAGAAUAACUCUGAGUCAGAUGUCAAAGACAUAACCAACAUUAUUAUGUUUUCAAGCAACAGACAUGUGGUUUUACUAGUAGUAGCUGAUACACUCCUGCAAAUGUCAAAACCAGAAAUGUUAAAAACAGGUGAAGCUGUGCUGCAGUUUCUGCUGGUUACAUAAAGGUCUUAUGCUAUUUAUUUCUUCUGUUGCCACCACAUAGGUCAUCUGUGUGAUUUGUUAGUAGGAUCUCAUUGUGUCGUCAUACAGCACAUCGAACCCUUGUAUUGUCUGAACGUCCUGAACACUCCUCCUGUCCUCAGGGUCAGAAAUGACCUGCCUCCACUGAGCCUCUAAAAUAGAGCAGCUUAAUGGAGUUUUUAACCAAAAAUCUAUUUUACAUGAAGAAACAACCUGUCAUGCAUCACACACUUUGUGAAUGCCUGUUUUUGCUUCCUCAGAGGGUAGAAAGACUGUAUUUAAUCAGUGAACACCAUUCGUUUUUAUUCCAUUGUUCAUGCUGUAACUGUUUUCUUUCUUUAAGUAGAGGUUUAUUAUCACUAUUAUUGCUGCUAAAGGUACUGCAUAGGUGUAAACAUUUCUUGUUUUGCAAGAGAUAAUACUUCUAUAGCCUAAUAAAGUACCAGAAAUGUGCAGAAAUGAACUUGAAAUGCAUUUUUGAAGGGAAACAACAGUGUACUGUAUACUGUACAAUGGAAUAUAAAACUACAAAACUCAACUACCA